CUACAAUAUUGAAACAAUGUUUUAUUUUUAUUUUUAUUUUUUAUGGAGAGUGUUCAAAAAAGUUGGAAAGACAUUGUAGGAAACCACUUACCACUUUGUAAGUCUCUCUCUCUCCAUUUGACUGAACUCUGUGGGGGAAAGAGCCCAGUCUUCUUACAGCCUUAUUACAUUUGAAUCCUCAGCAUGUAGCUCCUGAUGUGGAUCAGCCUUAGGAGAAAGAAGUCUGUGCUUAAAUGGAAUGCUUGAUCUCAGAAAAUGGAAAGAAUUUCAAGACUCUGAUUACUUUAUGACAAAGACAUUUUACUGCCAG
rnacentral:lncRNA from 10 species